GUGCAGCAGUCGCGAAAAUUCUGCAAUGCGCGAAAGCGUGACAGCGGGACUUCGAGUGACCACACUGUGGUCUUUUGCCAAGUGUAAACAGCUUGGAGAAUAAGGGCGGGGUAAGGCCGGUGCCAGCCGCCGCGGUAAUACCGGCCGCCCGAGUAGUGACCACUAUUAUUGGGCCUAAAGCGUCCGUAGCCGGUUUUGUAAGUUUCUGGGUAAAUCCCACAGCUUAACUGCGGGAAUUCCAGAAAUACUGCAGAGCUAGGGGCCGGGAGACGCAGAAGGUACUCCUGGGGUAGGGGUGAAAUCCUAUAAUCCCGGGAAGACCACCAGUGGCGUAGGCGGUCGGCUAGCACGCGCUCGACAGUGAGGGACGAAAGCUGGGGUAGCGAACCGGAGUAGAUACCCGUGUAGUCC
rnacentral:rRNA from 1 species